UACGGAGGAUGCGAGCGUUAUCCGGAUUUAUCGGGUUUAAAGGGUGCGUAGGCGGGAUGCCAAGUCAGCGGUAAAAAUGCGGUGCUCAACGCCGUCGAGCCGUUGAAGCUGGCGUUCUUGAGUGGGCGAGAAGUAUGCGGAAUGCGUGGUGUAGCGGUGAAAUGCAUAGAUAUCACGCAGAACUCCGAUUGCGAAGGCAGCAUACCGGCGCCCUACUGACGCUGAGGCACGAAAGCGUGGGUAUCGAACAGG
rnacentral:rRNA from 1 species